rnacentral:rRNA from 1 species
GACGAACGCUGGCGGCGUGCCUAAUACAUGCAAGUCGAACGCUUCUUUCCUCCCGAGUGCUUGCCCUCAAUUGGAAAGAGGAGUGGCGGACGGGUGAGUAACACGUGGGUAACCUACCCAUCAGAGGGGGAUAACACUUGGAAACAGGUGCUAAUACCGCAUAACAGUUUAUGCCGCAUGGCAUAAGAGUGAAAGGCGCUUUCGGGUGUCGCUGAUGGAUGGACCCGCGGUGCAUUAGCUAGUUGGUGAGGUAACGGCUCACCAAGGCCACGAUGCAUAGCCGACCUGAGAGGGUGAUCGGCCACACUGGGACUGAGACACGGCCCAGACUCCUAUGGGAGGCAGCAGUAGGGAAUCUUCGGCAAUGGACGAAAGUCUGACCGAGCAACGCCGCGUGAGUGAAGAAGGUUUGCGGAUCGUAAAACUCUGUUGUUAGAGAAGAACAAGGACGUUAGUAACUGAACGUCCCCUGACGGUAUCUAACCAGAAAGCCACGGCUAACUACGU